rnacentral:rRNA from 1 species
AACGUAGGUGGCAAGCGUUAUCCGGAAUUACUGGGCGUAAAGGGUGUGCAGGCGGGGUUGCAAGUGGUGUAUGAAAUAUCCCAGCUUAACUGGGAGGGGUUAUGCCAGACUGCAACUCUAGAGGACGAGAGAGGGGGGUGGAAUUCCGGGUGUAGUGGUGAAAUGCGUAGAGAUCCGGAGGAACCCCAGAGGCGAAGGCGGCCCCCUGGCUCGUACCUGACGCUCAGCCACGAAAGCAUGGGGAGCGAACGAG